AAAGAAACUAACAAGGAUUCCCCUAGUAACGGCGAGUGAAGCGGGAAGAGCUCAAAUUUGAAAUCUGGCAGUCUUCGAUUGUCCGAGUUGUAAUCUAUAGAGGCGUUUUCCGUGCCGGACCGUGUCCAAGUCUCCUGGAAAGGAGUAUCAAAGAGGGUGAUAAUCCCGUACUUAACACGACCACCGGUGCUCUGUGAUACGUCUUCUACGAGUCGAGUUGUUUGGGAAUGCAGCUCAAAAUGGGUGGUGAAUUCCAUCUAAAGCUAAAUAUUGGCGAGAGACCGAUAGCGAACAAGUACCGUGAGGGAAAGAUGAAAAGCACUUUGGAAAGAGAGUUAAACAGUACGUGAAAUUGUUGAAAGGGAAACGAUUGAAGUCAGUCGUGUUCUUUGGAUUCAGCCAGUUCUGCUGGUCUACUUCCUUGGAACGGGUCAACAUCAGUUUUGUCCGGUGGAUAAAGGUAGUAGGAAUGUGACUUCUCCGGAAGUGUUAUAGCCUAUUAUCACAUACACUGGGUGAGACUGAGGACUGCAGCUCGCCUUUAUGGCCGGCCUUCGGGCACGUUCGAGCUUAGGAUGUUGACAUAAUGGCUUUAAACGACCCGUCUU
rnacentral:rRNA from 1 species